rnacentral:rRNA from 1 species
GAUGAACGCUGGCGGCGUGCCUAAUACAUGCAAGUCGAGCGAACAGACGAGGAGCUUGCUCCUCUGACGUUAGCGGCGGACGGGUGAGUAACACGUGGAUAACCUACCUAUAAGACUGGGAUAACUUCGGGAAACCGGAGCUAAUACCGGAUAAUAUAUUGAACCGCAUGGUUCAAUAGUGAAAGACGGUUUUGCUGUCACUUAUAGAUGGAUCCGCGCCGCAUUAGCUAGUUGGUAAGGUAACGGCUUACCAAGGCAACGAUGCGUAGCCGACCUGAGAGGGGGAGAGGCAACACGGGGAGUGAGGCACGGCAGAGACACAUACUGGAGGCAGAAGUGGGGGAGAGGGCGCAAUGGGCGAAAGCUUGAAAACGCAACUAAGCGGGAGAGAAGAAGGUUGGCGGUUCGGAGACCUCUGUUGGCAUGGAAAAAGGAGAGAGCAGCAAACAAGCACGGGAGAGACGGGACGUAAACAGAAAGGCACGGCUAACUACGUC